rnacentral:rRNA from 1 species
UACGUAGGGUGCGAGCGUUGUCCGGAAUUAUUGGGCGUAAAGAGCUCGUAGGCGGUCCGUCGCGUCGAAUGUGAAAACCCGGGGCUCAACCCCGGGCCUGCAUUCGAUACGGGCGGACUAGAGUUCGGUAGGGGAGACUGGAAUUCCUGGUGUAGCGGUGAAAUGCGCAGAUAUCAGGAGGAACACCGGUGGCGAAGGCGGGUCUCUGGGCCGAUACUGACGCUGAGGAGCGGAAGCGUGGGGAGCGAACAGG